GAGUGUUCUGAGGAAGGUGCAAUCCCCUUUAAGCAGAUCUAUAAGCAUCACAGAUGAACAGAACUUUCAACAUUCCGCCAUGAAUAUUCAUGAAUUACAGUUGUUCUGAAGAAACAGUCCAACUGCUAAAUAUACUACUGAUUACUGACGGCAUCAAGAGUCACUUGGAAUUUGCUAAAAGACAAUGGAAUGUGAAGAACCAAGCUAUAUCAGGCUACAGAUUCUUCUUGCCAAGUAUUUCCUUGAGCAUGGA